rnacentral:rRNA from 1 species
UGGGGAAUAUUGCACAAUGGGCGAAAGCCUGAUGCAGCAACGCCGCGUGAGUGAUGAAGGCCUUCGGGUUGUAAAGCUCUGUCUUCUGGGACGAUAAUGACGGUACCAGAGGAGGAAGCCACGGCUAACUACGUGCCAGCAGCCGCGGUAAUACGUAGGUGGCAAGCGUUGUCCGGAUUUACUGGGCGAAAAGGAUGCGUAGGCGGAUACUUAAGUCAGAUGUGAAAAUCCCGGGCUUAACUUGGGAACUGCAUUUUAAACUGGGUAUCUAGAGUGCGGGAGAGGAAAGUGGAAUUCCUAGUGUAGCGGUGAAAUGCGUAGAGAUUAGGAAGAACACCAGUGGCGAAGGCGACUUUCUGGACCGUAACUGACGCUGAGGCAUGAAAGCGUGGGGAGCAAACA